CGCACAUUGCGCCCGCUAGCACUCUAGCGGGCAUGCCUGUUCGAGCGUCAUUUCAACCCUCGAGCCCCCCGUGGGCUCGGUGCUGGGGGACGGCGCAGGGCUGCCUCCGGGCGCCUGCCGCCCCCGAAAUAUAUUGGCGGUCUCGCUGCAGCCUCCUCUGCGUAGUAGAAACACCUCGCUCUGGAACGCGGCGCGGCCAUGCCGUAAAACACCCCACUUCUGAAAGGUUGACCUCGGAUCAGGUAGGAAUACCCGCUGAACUUAA
rnacentral:misc_RNA from 1 species